rnacentral:pre_miRNA from 1 species
AGUGGGAUAGCUGGGUCAAAUGGUGGUUCCAUUCCAAGUUUUCUGAGGAAUCUCCAUGGUGCUUUCCAGAUUGGUUGCACUAAUUUGCAGUCCCACCAGCAAA